CUAGAGGGGCUGCCCACCUGUAGUCCCGAUAGGUGUAGGCUGGGGGCUCCCGCCAGCACUCUCCCGUGUCAGGGUCCAGGACGCAGUUGUCUGCGUGCACUGGGUGACUCAGGUCCAUGCGCUGCUCUUGCUCUCCUAGGACACAAAGGGGUCUGGGGGUACCUCUGUGCCCCUGUGCCCAUCUGCCACCCUGUGGGCUCAGGCCGUGCACGUCCACCCCGGGGCUCUUGGGGGCAGUGUCCUGGGGGCAGGGCCUGAGGUUGGAGAAGA
rnacentral:lncRNA from 1 species